rnacentral:rRNA from 1 species
AGUGGCGGACGGGUGAGUAACGCGUGAGAAUCUGCCUUGGGGUCGGGGACAACCACUGGAAACGGUGGCUAAUACCGGAUAAGCCGAUUGGUGAAAGAUUUAUUGCCCGAAGAGGAGCUCGCGUCUGAUUAGCUAGUUGGUGAGGUAAGAGCUCACCAAGGCAGCGAUCAGUAGCUGGUCUGAGAGGACGAUCAGCCACACUGGGACUGAGACACGGCCCAGACUCCUACGGGAGGCAGCAGUGGGGAAUUUUCCGCAAUGGGCGAAAGCCUGACGGAGCAAGACCGCGUGAGGGAGGAAGGCUCUUGGGUUGUAAACCUCUUUUCUCAGGGAAGAAGCUCUGACGGUACCUGAGGAAUCAGCCUCGGCUAACUCCGUGCCAGCAGCCGCGGUAAUACGGAGGAGGCAAGCGUUAUCCGGAAUUAUUGGGCGUAAAGCGUCCGCAGGUGGCGAUUCAAGUCUGCUAUCAAAGCACGGGGCUUAACUCCGUAAAGGCAGUGGAAACUGAAUAGCUAGAGUGCCGUAGGGGUAGAGGGAAUUCCCGGUGUAGCGGUGAAAUGCGUAGAGAUCGGGAAGAACAUCGGUGGCGAAAGCGCUCUACUGGACGGCAACUGACACUCAGGGACGAAAGCUAGGGGAGCGAAUGGGAUUAGAUACCCC